UCCGCCGACGAUUGACAGAAUAUUCUCAGUACGUAACAGCGAAUAUACCUAUCUGCGGUCCGUGGAAUCUUUGACACUUCGCGAGCCAGCGAGUUCCGUUUGCUGCCGUUUCUCGCGCCGCAAUAUUGGGGAUGCAUUUCACUCCAACGGCUAGCAUUAAAUAAUUACUGCGUGAGAGUGCAAAGGCCGGAGCACAGAUCUUUGAGUCCUGAAAUAUAAUAGGUGUAAUGCGUAAAAGUGUGUUUGGAAGUAUAGACUUUCCACAAGACUCUAGAUGGAAAUUCAAAUUUGCAGUAUAUUUAGCGAAAAGAUGCAAAGGAUCGGCGAGGUGCCAGACAUCCUCGACGCGAAUAAUGCGCAGGAGGUGUUGAAGUAGGAAUGCUAAGUUAAAUAUACGCGUAGGACGUGGAGGUACGCGAUAAUGUUCCGCUAAUGAUGACAGUAACCCAUGUUGACUUAACCCGUUGCCGUGAUGGACGUUGUAGUAUAUUAGGAACAGCAUUUAUGACAGAUAUGUCACGCGAAAAUGUCAACCGUUCGUAGCAGAAGAUUGCGUUCGGUGAAGUAUAGCUUUUGCAAAAUAAACGUGCCUGUAUCACAGCCUUUGCAAUGGA